UAGAAUCACAAAAAGUCGGCUGUUUCAAUUAAUUGCCAAAAUGAAGCAUCACAGAUGCAAACACAACAAUUUAAUUGCCAUAACAGGCUGGAAAAAAAAAAUGAAUCGAAGCAUCACAGAUGCAAACACAACAAAAUAGGCAUCACAGAUGCAACAAACUAAGGUUUCACCAACAAAUCGAAGCAUCACAGAUGCUAAAACAACAAAGCAAGGCAUCACAGAUACCAUCUCACGAAAAGGAAAGUCCUCACCCUGAAAUCAGGUGCUGAUCCCAAAUUCUCUCUAAAUCCCAAAUUCUCUUGUCUGAAAUCAUGCGCUGCCACCAAAUUUCCGCCCUUCUCUUGUCUGAAAUUAAACCCCAAAUUCUCUGUCAAAAUCCACGGUUUUGGAGCCCUUAAGCUUGCGGCAGAUACGGGAGUUGAUGGUGAGCUUGACGGCGGCGAAUGACUGGUCGUGACGGAGGCUUGUGGGCGACGGUGACGGCAGGGGACUGUNNNN
rnacentral:lncRNA from 1 species